AUUGAACGCUGGCGGCAGGCCUAACACAUGCAAGUCGAACGAGUGGCGGACGGGUGAGUAAUGUCUGGGAAACUGCCCGAUGGAGGGGGAUAACUACUGGAACCGGUAGCUAAUACCGCAUACCAUCAGAUGUGCCCAGAUGGGAUUAGCUAUUAGGUGGGGUAACGGCUCACCUAGGCGACGAUCCCUAGCUGGUCUGAGAGGAUGACAAUCCAAACUGGAACUGAGACAGGGUCCAGACUCCUACGGGAGGCAGCAGUGGGGAAUAUUGCACAAUGGGCGCAAGCCUGAUGCAGCCAUGCCGCGUGGAUGAAGAAGGCCUUCGGGUGGUAAAGUACUUUCAGCGAGGAGGCAUUACUCGAAGAAGAAGCAACGGCUAACUCCGUGCCAGCAGCCGCGGUAAUUC
rnacentral:rRNA from 1 species